CCCUGAUGUACUCUGGAGUUGAAGUGUGUAGCAUUUGGAGCUCAAGGGUAGCACAUUUUCUCAGAAAUGAACAAGGAGUUGGAGGCUAAUUUAAAACAUCUUACAACUCCCAUCACCUUGACUGUUCCAGCUGGGAAGUGAAUCGAAGAGUGAGUCUGUGAUGAAAUAAACUCACCAGAGUAACAUGAAUGCCAACUUAUUAACAAACCUCUCUUAGAAAGGAAUGGAGCUAUGCUGGCCCAGCAAGAGGUGAGAGAGUUUUGCCUUCUUCAGCCUCAAUCUAUAGGAGACGGUCACCUAUGCGUUUAUGAGCUAUU
rnacentral:lncRNA from 1 species